rnacentral:tRNA from 1 species
GCCCUGGAUAGCUCAAUGGCUAGAGCAGCCGUGCUGGUAACAGCACGGAAGACGACGGAUCGAUCCCGUCACCAGGGUU